rnacentral:rRNA from 1 species
UACGUAGGGUGCAAGCGUUGUCCGGAAUUAUUGGGCGUAAAGAGCUCGUAGGCGGCCUGUCGCGUCGGGAGUGAAAGCCCACUGCUUAACGGUGGGUCUGCUUCCGGUACGGGCGGGCUAGAGUAUGGCAGGGGAGACUGGAAUUCCUGGUGUAGCGGUGGAAUGCGCAGAUAUCAGGAGGAACACCGGUGGCGAAGGCGGGUCUCUGGGCCAUUACUGACGCUGAGGAGCGAAAGCGUGGGGAGCGAACAGG